GCUGUGGUGGCCGAGUGUUUAAGGCGUUGGACUUGAAAUCCAAUGGGUUGUACCCGCACAGGUUCAAAUCCUGUCCACAGGG
rfam:Trichuris trichiura, WGS project CBXK01000000 data, contig: TTRE_552